UACGGGGGGGGCAAGCGUUGUUCGGAAUUACUGGGCGUAAAGGGCUCGUAGGUGGCCAACUAAGUCGGACGUGAAAUCCCCAGGCUUAACCUGGGAACUGCAUCCGAUACUGGAUGGCUUGAAUCCGGGAGAGGGAUGCGGAAUUCCAGGUGUAGCGGUGAAAUGCGUAGAUAUCUGGAGGAACACCGGUGGCGAAGGCGGCAUCCUGGACCGGCAUUGACGCUGAGGAGCGAAAGCCAGGGGAGCAAACGGG
rnacentral:rRNA from 1 species